AGUACCUGGCACCGUGGGGAAAUAUCUGGCACUGGGGACAUAUGUGGCACUGGGAGCACAGCCCUAGCAACAAGGACUACCUCCUAGCAACGAGCAUGACACCCAGUGCAUGAAACACCUGACAACGAGCAUGACACCCAGUGCAUGAAACACCUGGCAACGAGCAUGACACCCAGUGCAUGAAACCCCUGACAACGAGAAGGUGCUCCUCAGGUAACGACAAGAACCAUGGAUCAAGAUUUACUUACAUGAUGACAUCUCAAAUUUACAUCUCUAUACAUUUACCAACCCGUGCAAAUCAGAAACUCCCGCGCGAAGAACGGAGAGACUGAACAUCUGAAAAUGAGCGCACUCUACCUGAACUCACCAGCUGACCGACCCUGAAAAGCCCUGCCUCAGCCCAAGAAGCAAAGGCCAGGCUGUGGAGUCCUGGAACAAAUUCGGGGUUAUGAAGAAAAGAAGUCAAGGGGGACCACUUAGAAGAGAUGUCUCCCGAUACUACUUGGCUGACACAGUAAACGUCUCACUGGUAAAGGGGAAUCAAUGGACGGCUUGGAAUGAGGCUGAUUCAGAAUGACGAGAACUUCCUCGAGGUUACCGACAUAGUACAGAAAGGACCACUCUUCAAUAUACUACGUAUAGGAGACGAAUUAAUAAAGUUUAACAACAAAAAAGUUCUGGGAUGGACUGUGGAGGAAUUCUGGGCUCUUGAGAGUGAUAAAGAUGGAAGCCAUAUUUGUUCAUAAGACUCCAUUUAUAAUUGACAUCUGACAAGCUGUUUCAAAUUGUUUUCAGCUUAGAGCUGACACAGGAAAAAGUACAGACACUGCACUUUGUUUGAACCCAUAUUGUGAAGUUAUGACCUUUAUCUAAGAUAUAUUUUACGGUAAUUUCCUAGCAGAAAUAUAAUGUCAGCAGCUAGACAUGUGAGCUUCACAGGGUAUUUGUCAGUUUGCGGUAUAGCAGGUGUAAAAAUAUAACCAGACAUAUGUAGGUUUCGAGGUUAGCAAAAAAAAACCCAGUUAUUCCACUUAAGAGCACAUAUAAAAAAUACAGACGUUGGCAAACAUAUUACGUAUAAGAUAUAAGUUUUAUUAGCCAAUAGGAUUAAGCUUCAUGUCAGAAAUCGACGACACGAUAUGUUAAUUUGUAUCACUUUAUAAUGUACUGCUGGUAGGAAAUAAAGCU